rnacentral:rRNA from 1 species
UACAGAGGUCUCAAGCGUUGUUCGGAUUCAUUGGGCGUAAAGGUGCGUAGGCGGCGCGGUAAGUCGGGUGUGAAAUCUCGGAGCUUAACUCCGAAACUGCAUUCGAUACUGCCGUGCUUGAGGACUGGAGAGGAGACUGGAAUUUACGGGUGUAAGCGGUGAAAUGCGUAGAUAUCGUAAGGAAGACCAGUGGCGAAGGCGGGUCUCUGGACAGUUCCUGACGCUGAGGCACGAAGGCCAGGGAGCAAACGGG